CAAUAGCGUAUAUUAAAGUUGUUGCAGUUAAAAAGCUCGUAGUUGGAUUUCUGGUAGGAAUGAUCGGUCCGCCUCGAAAGGGGUGUGUACUUGUGUCGUAUCCGGCCAUCCUUGCGGAGAGCAGUUCUGGCAUUAGGUUGUCGGGGCUGGGAUCCGCAUCGUUUACUGUGAAAAAAUUAGAGUGUUUAAAGCAGGCAGUCGCUUGAAUACAUUAGCAUGGAAUAAUUCGAUAGGACUUUGGUGCUAUUUUGUUGGUUUGCACACCAAGGUAAUGAUUAAUAGGGAUAGUUGGGGGUAUUCAUAUUUAAUUGUCAGAGGUGAAAUUCUUAGAUUUAUGAAAGAUGAACUUAUGCGAAAGCAUUUACCAAGGAUGUUUUCAUUAA
rnacentral:rRNA from 1 species